rnacentral:rRNA from 1 species
UACAGAGGGGGCAAGCGUUAUUCGGAAUUAUUGGGCGUAAAGCGCGCGUAGGCGGCUUCGCAAGUCGGGUGUGAAAUCCCCAAGCUCAACUUGGGAACUGCAUUCGAGACUGCGUUGCUAGAGUAUGGGAGAGGGAAGUGGAAUUUCAGGUGUAGCGGUGAAAUGCGUAGAUAUCUGAAGGAACAUCAGUGGCGAAAGCGACUUCCUGGACCAAUACUGACGCUCAUGUGCGAAAGCGUGGGGAGCAAACAGG